AACGGUCUAUACCUGCGGUACCUGCGGAAGGAUCAUUACAGAGUUUACAACUCCCAAACCCACUGUGAACCUUACAGCGUCGUUGCCUCGGCGGACCGCCCCCGGCGCGGCCCCCCUCGGGGGGGCGCCCGGGACCACGGCGCCCGCCGGAGGACCCAAACUCUUGUAUUUGCAGGAUGCAUUGCUCUGAGUGAAAACAAGCAAAUGAAUCAAAACUUUCAGCAACGGAUCUCUAGAUCG
rnacentral:misc_RNA from 1 species